rnacentral:rRNA from 1 species
AUGCGGCCGUGGUGCGCGAACGCAAGGGAGGUGGUCGUCCCCGGCGGCGAGGGGGCCACGGUGGUGCUCGCGCAUGGCUAUGGCAUGGACCAGGCGUCCUGGGACAAGAUCCUGCCCUCCAUCACCAAAGCAAACAAGGUGGUCCUCUUCGACUGGGACUUCACCGCCGGUGCCGAGGACGGCGACGAGGCGAGGUACACGUUCACCCGGUUCGCCGACGACCUGAUUGCGCUGAUGGACGAGAGGGAUGUCCGUGGCGCGGUGCUGGUGGGGCACUCCAUGUCCGCCAUGGUCGGCUGUAUCGCCGCCGCCCGGCAACCCGACCUCUUCGCCCACCUCCUCCUCCUCUGCGCCUCUCCAAGGUACAUCAACUCGGAGGAGGAGGGGUACGUGGGCGGCUUCGAGGAGGCGGCCAUCCACGGUAUGUUGGGGGCCAUGGAGUCCGACUUCCAAGCCUGGGUCAAAGGCUUCGUCCCCAACGCCGCCGGUGGCGCUGCCGACGACAUGGCGGCCGCAACCGUGGAGUCCCUGGAGCGUAGCUUCCUGGCCAUGGACCCGGCCGUGGCUCUCGGGGUGGCCAGGAUGAUCUUCCUCGGCGACCAGCGCCCGGCCCUCGAUGCUGUGCCAACACAGUGCACCAUCGUUGGGGUGCGCCAUGACUUUGCCGCACCGCCGGUCGUGGCCGAGUACAUGGAGCGGAGAAUGAUGAAAGCAGGCACAGACGUGGCCGUGGAGAUUGUCGAGUCCGUUGGGCACUUUCCCCAGCUCGUCGUGCCGACGCGCGUGGCAGGCAUACUCGACGGCGUGCUGCUGCGGCUGCGCCACAAGGGGCUCUCGAACGGGCAUGAUGGCACGGAGGAGGAAGACACAACGGUGCCUGCCGCUACUGAGGUGGAGAUUGAUGGUGGCAUCGACGUCACGACGUAG